rnacentral:rRNA from 1 species
GACGAACGCUGGCGGCGUGCUUAACACAUGCAAGUAGAAAGGUAAGGCCCUUCGGGGUACACGAGUGGCGAACGGGAGAGGAACACGUGGGUGAUCUGCCCAGCACUUCGGGAUAAGCCUGGGAAACUGGGGCUCAUACCGGAUAGGACCACUGCCUGCAUGGGUGGUGGUGGAAAGCUUUUGCGGUGUUGGAUGGGCCCGCGGCCUCUUGGCUUGUUGGUGGGGGGAUGGGCUACCAAGGCGACGACGGGUAGCCGGCCUGGGAGAGUGACCGGCCACACUGGGACUGAGAUACGGCCCAGACUCCUACGGGAGGCAGCAGUGGGGAAUAUUGCACAAUGGGCGCAAGCCUGAUGCAGCGACGCCGCGUGAGGGAUGACGGCCUUUGGGUUGUAAACCUCUUUCAGCACCGACGAAGCGCAAGUGACGGUAGGUGCAGAAGAAGGACCGGCCAACUACUUGCCAGCCGCCGCAGUAA